CCUACGGGAGGCAGCAGUGGGGAAUAUUGCACAAUGGGGGAAACCCUGAUGCAGCGACGCCGCGUGAGUGAAGAAGUAUUUCGGUAUGUAAAGCUUUAUCAGCAGGGAAGAAAAUGACGGUAUCUGACUAAGAAGCCCUGGCUAACUACGUGCCAGCAGCCGCGGUAAGAUGUAGGAGGCAAGCGUUAUCCGGAUUUACUGGGUGUAAAGGGAGCGUAGACGGUUAGACAAGUCAGAAGUGAAAGCCCAGGGCUCAACUCUGGGACUGCUUUUGAAACUGGCGGGCUGGAGUGCAGGAGAGGUAGGCGGAAUUCGUGGUGUAGCGGUGAAAUGCGUAGAUAUUAGGAAGAACACCGAUGGCGAAGGCAGCUUACUGGACUGUAACUGACGUUGAGGCUCGAAAGCGUGGGGAGCAAACAGGAUUAGAUACCCGUGUAGUC
rnacentral:rRNA from 1 species